rnacentral:rRNA from 1 species
AGUGAACGCUGGCGGUAGGCCUAACACAUGCAAGUCGAACGGCAGCACAGAGGAGCUUGCUCCUUGGGUGGCGAGUGGCGGACGGGUGAGGAAUACAUCGGAAUCUACUCUGUCGUGGGGGAUAACGUAGGGAAACUUACGCUAAUACCGCAUACGACCUACGGGUGAAAGCAGGGGAUCUUCGGACCUUGCGCGAUUGAAUGAGCCGAUGUCGGAUUAGCUAGUUGGCGGGGUAAAGGCCCACCAAGGCGACGAUCCGUAGCUGGUCUGAGAGGAUGAUCAGCCACACUGGAACAGGGACACGGUCCAGACUCCUACGGGAGGCAGCAGUGGGGAAUAUUGGACAAUGGGCGCAAGCCUGAUCCAGCCAUACCGCGUGGGUGAAGAAGGCCUUCGGGUUGUAAAGCCCUUUUGUUGGGAAAGAAAUCCAUCUGGUUAAUACCCGGGUGGGAUGACGGUACCCAAAGAAUAAGCACCGGCUAACUUCGUGCCAGCCGCCGCGGUAA